rnacentral:rRNA from 1 species
UACGGAGGGAGCUAGCGUUGUUCGGAAUGACUGGGCGUAAAGCGCGCGUAGGCGGCUUUGUAAGUUAGAGGUGAAAGCCUGGAGCUCAACUUCAGAAUUGCCUUUAAGACUGCAUCGCUUGAAUCCGGGAGAGGUGAGUGGAAUUCCGAGUGUAGAGGUGAAAUUCGUAGAUAUUCGGAAGAACACCAGUGGCGAAGGCGGCUCACUGGACCGGCAUUGACGCUGAGGUGCGAAAGCGUGGGGAGCAAACAGG